GACGAACCCGUCCAAACGUUAUUCGGAAUCACUGGGCUUAAAGGGUGCGUAGGCGGCGCGGCAAGUUGGGUGUGAAAUCCCUCGGCUCAACCGAGGAACUGCGCCCAAAACUGCCGUGCUCGAGGGAGAUAGAGGUGAGCGGAACUUAGGGUGGAGCGGUGAAAUGCGUUGAUAUCCUAAGGAACACCGGUGGCGAAAGCGGCUCACUGGAUCUCUUCUGACGCUGAGGCACGAAAGCUAGGGUAGCGAACGGGAUUAGAUACCCGUGUAGU
rnacentral:rRNA from 1 species